AUAAAUACCUUGGAAUGAAAUCACUGGGUCAUAUAGAUGCUGUCUGUAACACUGAAGAUUCCUCUUGGUGAGGCUCAUUAAGAGGAAAAGCUCUCUGGCCUUUAUAAUAGAACAACUGUUUCCUCUGGAGAGACUGGUUUGCUUUUUAUCUUAUGGCUGUCCUGAGAUACAUGACUGAUCAGUGUUCAUUUUUAGUGCUGCAUUUCACACAGAGAGGAAGAAUGUUGGCACCCAGUGACAAGCAGUCAAAACUUUUUGACUGGAGAAUUUGGUUUUAUAUAUUCCAGAGGACCCCUUCUGGGAGGCAAAAUUAGGAUAUUGUUGCUGCUCAAAUGUGUGUAGAAGAAUCUGUUCAACACAAGAGCCAAAGUCCACUGUGUAAAUAUGAACCCAGGUGAUCAUCUGUUAA